rnacentral:lncRNA from 1 species
CAUCCACAAUUUUAUCACCCUCAGACAUGGCUUUUUUAAGACUCGCAGAGGCCCAGGAGUAGAAUUUCAUUUGUGGGGCCCGUGCUCUUAACUGUACUCUAUGUCAAUGUAAUUUCUCUUCCUCAACAGUUUGAAAAUGAUUUUAUGAUUUUUUAAAAAGCUGUAGUUUAUUUCAGAAGCGGCAAGUUAGGGAAAAAACACACAAACAAAAUUCAAACACACACAUGGCUCUCUGCAGGGGAUAAACAGUUCCUUCCAGAUUUCCAGAUUGCAUUUUUUACUUAUACCCCACCUAUCUGACUGGGUUUCCCCAACCGCUCUGGGCAGCUUCCAUUAUAUAUAAAAAGGUAAUAAAUGCAGGUGGGUAAUAAUGCAGAUGGAGUCCAGAGAGAAAAGAAACUGAUAACACUUUACUGAGGGAAACUUGACGAAAACAGUAUAUAGUACAAGGAGAAAUAAACAGAGACAUCUUCUUGUUCUGAAUUCAAACUUUGUUCAUAACAGGAAGACAUAUAACUUCUAAUACAGGAGGGAAACUAGAUCAGAAAUACACGAUCAAUUAGAGCAUGCAGUACCUCAAUAAGCAUCAUGCCACCCAACCUGGUUGCUAAGCAGCACCUCCAAACACCUCCCUCUUGCCUAGUUGGCUUACUGAGAACAGAAUUAAUCCUUAGAUUACAAAGUGAAUGACCCCUGUUGUUACAUUUCUAACAUGGAGAAGGUUAAAGCAGGGAAAGUAUUGAGGGUUUCAGCAGUGAGUGGAAAGAUGCUGUCUGCGCACCAGAGGCUUCACUGACAGGUUUUUAAAAUAGUUCUGCUGUAAUUAUAUUAGAAUAGAAGUUGUUUCAAAUCCAGUUCUAUUGUUUCCUGGUUACUCUUUGAUCCAAAUCUCAUGCCCAUUGUCCCAUAUAUGUAUCCUGGUUCUGGUCCAAGUGUAAACAAAGGUUAUAGACUCUUGCAAUUAUGCCUUUAUGCAAGAUAAACAGAAUUUCCCAUUUGUUCUCCAAUUUUGUAUUAGUACCACUCCAGCCCAUUCCCACAAAGUGGUUUAAAGGGACAUAACUUAUAGACAGACUUGCAGGAAUAUGGGAUAUUAUAUACUGAGAGCACAGGGAAGCAACAUUUGCUUCUUUGAAAAGUCAGACAACUUUCUCCCUUCUUCAUUCCUUACUGAUUAAAGCAAAUACUUUCAAAGGGCAACACUUCAAAAACCAGCUCAUUGCAAAAGGAAUUGUCUUUUUUAGACUAAAUACAUUUCAAAGGAAGUAGAAAAUAGGUUUAACUUGGUAAUAAUUGUAAUGAUAAAGUGAGAAUGGGGUAAAUAUGCUUUCUUAAUACAUAUAUUUUACAUGUUCUCUAGAGUAGGAGUGUGGCACCUAUGGCCCUCCAGAUGUUGGGUAACAACUCCUAUAAUCCCUGACCAUUGGCUGUGCUGACUGGGGCUGAUGGGAGUUGGGAGUCCGACAACUUCUGGAAUGCUACAGGCUACUCAUUCUUGCCCUAGAGCAGUGGUUCUCAGAGGGUGUGGCAGGAGAGGAUAGCAAGUGUGGCAGGAAAAUUAAGGACAAGCAAAGAAGCAUUUAAACAUUCCAGUGUAGUAUAGUAUAGCAUCCACACCUCUCUUCAAGAGCAUUGGCUGUUCUUAUACAGUUCUCCACAACAUAUUGUUGUGAACAGGGUUUUUUCAACUCUGACAAAUAUGACAGAUCACAAAAGAGAAAGGCUUAUUUGUGUUGAUGAGAGUUUGUUUCAAACUAGACCUAAUAUAAAUCAGAUUACCUAGAAAAAGCAAACCCACACCUUUCAUUGAGUCUGUAUACAUGCUUAACGUACAUAUGUAAGGGGCUUGUUUAAAAAUACAUUUUGGCAAUGAAUGAUUCGUGUUCUUAUGUAGCUGCAUUGUUUUAAACUUUCUGGAUGCCCCACGGUCAUAUUAUAAAGUAGUUGUGUUCUACUGUAUGUUAUAAAUCGUAUUACUGCUGGGAGUUGUUUCUUUUUGUUUUCCAAAGUAUUUAUUGAUAAAACAUUCAGUGUGCUGAAAGCAAUUUUUUUUUCUGAAAGUGGCCCAGAGGAAGAAGUUUGAGAACCACUGCCCCACCAACAAUCCUUACUAGCUGGAGCUUAUUUUCAAUUUAUAUUUUAUUGACCUUUAAGCUGCACUUUUACAUUAACAUCUCUGUACAGAGCUCUUAUCUGGGUCAUCUGCAGACCGUCUGCCUCUGUAUUCAAGAUUCACUUCCUUUCUUCCAGAUGCUUGUUGAUGAACCACCUUGAGAAGCAACCAACUCACUUAUGCCCCAGCAAGGCUCAUGUACUCUUACACCUCUACUUUCCUCUGUCCUUUCCUCACUUUCCUUAUUC